UAUUUCUAGGAACUGUGGCCCAAACACAGAGGAAGUCGCCAAAAAUGGGUUCCACUGAAGCUACUGUGUAGACUUGAAUUUCUGUUUCUCAAAGAGCUCUCGGAGCUGCUGCUCGGUGGUGGCUUCUUUCUGCUGCAUGAGCUCAGCUGUCCCCUUGGUCACGCCCCAGGCAUCUGGCUUUGACAUGGAAGGGUUGUAUGGCCUGCCUGAGGCUAUGGGAAGAUUCUCCCAGUAUUCCUUCCUGGCCCUGGGGGAACAAAACACACAACAUUAGACUCCUCCUCGAGUGUGGUCUCUGUCACUGAGCGAGAACACCUCCACAGAGCUGUCUUUGGAUGCUUGAGAAACACUCACCCUGGGGGAGGCCAGUGGCCGUGUUGUGAGAACACUCAAACAUCACAGUGGAGAGGCCCAUGAGCUCAGGAACUGAGGCCUCCAGUCAACAGACAGCAAGAAGCUGACACUGACUCCCACAGCCAACUAAAGGAGCCUGAAGGUGCUAAAUCUCCAGCAUAGAUCAAGUUGCCCC